GAUGAACGCUGGCGGCGUGCCUAAUACAUGCAAGUCGAGCGAACAGACGAGGAGCUUGCUCCUCUGACGUUAGCGGCGGACGGGUGAGUAACACGUGGAUAACCUACCUAUAAGACUGGGAUAACUUCGGGAAACCGGAGCUAAUACCGGAUAAUAUAUUGAACCGCAUGGUUCAAUAGUUAAAGACGGUUUUGCUGUCACUUAUAGAUGGAUCCGCGCCGCAUUAGCUAGUUGGUAAGGUAACGGCUUACCAAGGCAACGAUGCGUAGCCGACCUGAGAGGGUGAUCGGCCACACUGGAACUGAGACACGGUCCAGACUCCUACGGGAGGCAGCAGUAGGGAAUCUUCCGAAAUGGGCGAAAGCCUGACGGAGCAACGCCGCGUGAGUGAUGAAGGUCUUCGGAUCGUAAAACUCUGUUAUUAGGGAAGAACAAAUGUGUAAGUAACUAUGCACGUCUUGACGGUACCUAAUCAGAAAGCCACGGCUAACUACGUG
rnacentral:rRNA from 1 species